UUCAGGGAAGGGGAGAGGAAAAUAUAUGUCCUAUCCAACUUAUUCUGAUGUGGCCGCAGAUCAUGAAAAAGAGGGUGCAAGGGAAAAACCCUUUUAUUAAUGUAGCAUUUCAACUUGGCAGACAUUCGCUUUCUCAGCAUGUGAGCUAUUUUAGCCAAUGGCUGUUCAAGAAAAAUUUAAGUGUACACAACUGCACCUACAUGGAUGAAAAUCCAAAAAGAUUAUUCUCUACGGUAAAGUUCACCACCACUUCUAACCAGGGUUGCCACUCCUGACUUUUCCAGGUUUUCCAGGUGUGUUUCAAGAAAAUUCCAGUCUAUCCGCGUAAUGUACGUUGGCUGUGCUUAGAGGAACUCUUUCAUGAUAUACAUCAGCACACAGAUAUUCACUGUCAGGAUAUGUUUUGAAAUCAUGUUAAUAUAACCAAGUAUGUCUCAGGAACUAGCUCUCACAAUUCAGAAAUAUGGCUGAGAACAUUCCUCUGGUACCUGAAUCAGCUUGAUUCAGUUUUCCAUUGAUAUUGUUCCACUUUACAUUAGAAAUUGUGUUCUCUAUUUUGGCAAUGCAGUUUGAGACAAAGGUAACCCAGCAAUAUAAUUCUGAAGAAAUACAGCAUGGUACAACUGUUGAAUCUGUCCAGGCCAGUACAUUAUGCAUAGGAAACUCUAAAUGUUCUAACACCGAUUUUAGGAAAUCCACUAACAAAACUGCGAUGCAUAACUCUAAUUGAAGUAAUGAUUGCACCUUCAGAGGAGCAACUCUUUUGAUGCUGAGAGUGAGAUUUGAUGUCCAAAUUUCAUGAUAGUGAACAUAAAUAUAUAGCAGCAGAGUAGCCUUUUUCAGAGGAAUCAAAAAAAAAAAAAAAAAAAAAAAAAAAAAAAA